CCCAGGUGGGAGGGUAAGGUCGUGGGUGGAGCUUCGGGGAGCAACUUCCCGGCUGUCUGGGCCGAACCUGGGAAGCUCAGCCUGCGGACCUGAUGUGGCAUUUCCACGAGGGACCCUGCUGUCCAAGACCUGCCAGGCUGAGUUCUGCGCCUGUGCUGCCGACUCCCGGUGUCACCCAGGAAGGAACUCAGGUCCCCGGGAGCGCAGCUGCCCUGCGCAGGGGUUUCUGCCUCCUGGGUCCUUAGCAGCAGAGCAGGACACAGACCUCAUCUCUGGCACUGUCGCCUGAGACGCGCCUCGCAGCACCCCUCAGGACGGUCCUCUCGCCUGGUGACCAGGACCUCAGCCCGUACCCACCCAGCUCCCCCUCGGUGGCCACAGGGCAUCGGAGGACGCAGGUGUGGAGCUGUUCAGCUACCAGGAUGCCCCUCGGCUCUGUGGAGGCAGAGGCGGGUGACAAGCAACUCCUUCAUCGUUUCUCUCUGCCACGCUGUCAUUUGAGUGUUUGUGGGAUGCUCGUUCCUCGGCAUGGCUCAAGUCUGCUCGUUUCAGCUCUCUUGGCUGUGAAACAGGGACCUGUGAGGCCCAGGCUCACUGUGCAGAGUGAGGAUCAGUCAAGCAGUGUGUGCGAAGCUUUAGCACCGAGCCCGCAGCAGGAGCUCGGGCCCUGCUCAAGGUAGAACCAUUAGGAGCAGGUGAAGAAGGUGCUGAGAGAGAAGAUCAGUUCUGCUGGGGCGAGGACAAAGCCUAAGGGAGAUGAUGAACUCGUUGGCUGCGGUGUGUUCUAGCUACAGUUGGAGUACAAAGUAGGAGCACAUAACUGUACAGGAGAGGCAGAGUUGCAUUCAGAGUAGAGGGGCAUUGAAUGGGGUUCUGAAGAGUGGAUAAGAGUUGAAAGACAGGGAAGUCCUUUUCUGAGGAGGGAACACCCAAUGUAAAACACAGACCUCAGUGAAGUCUAGCCUGCUCAUCUCUCUUAGUCCGAGGCCCCAGGCGCCCCGCUGAAAGCCCCCUAUGUGGGCAAGUGCUAGGGCUCAGUGCUCUGUCAGCACAUGCAUAGCUCAGCUGGCUGGCGUAACCUUUGAAGCUGGGCUCUUGGCUGGGCCCUGGGCCGGGGGGCCCUCCCCUGCAGACCACCAGAACCGGCCCUGCUGUCCCUCUUGAGCAUGACAUGGGGUGGGGGGGACUUGGCCCUGGCUGUGGGUCUGCGGGUCUGAUGGGGCUGUUGCACUGCUGUGGCCCCUCCUGCUGGGCUUCGGCUCUGGGUUGCGUGACCACCCGGCUCCCUCCUGCUGCGGGACCCUUCCCCUCAUCCUGCAAUGCCGCUGUGCACCCUGGGCUGGGGAUCCUGCGAUGGCCAGGCAGAGCAGUCUCCCAGGCCGGGUGCCUUCUGUUCUGACGGGGUCAGACUCCCAUCCCUGAGCCUGAGACUCCACGCUUCCUCCUCGUUGUCUGUCCCAGGGGCCACUUCCGGGCCAGGCAGCUAGGUGUGGCAUGAGGCUCUCAUGUGCCUGUGCAGGACCUGUCUCCAGCACAGCUGUCACCUGCUGGCCAGUAGCAGGGCUCGCUGGCAAUAUGUCACCUGCCAGUCUCGACAACUCGAGGGCAGAAUGGCGCUGGGCUCACCUCGUCACCCAGCACUGAGCUGGACCAGGGGAGAAGGUGCACAUGAAGAGUGAGGACUUGGCUCCCUGAGGGCAGGGCUGCCUCCAGCUUCCCCCACAUCCUGCUCCACCCUGCAGCACCGGCCACAGCCCAAGUGCCUGAUAAAUGCUUAUGGAAUAAAUGAUUAUUUUAAUUACUCAAUGCGUCACCACAGGGCUCCUUUAAAUAGCCCUUAUUCUGGUGCAUUUAUGCUCAUUUAUAAAUAAUUAACUGUGUCACCAGGAGGCUUGGAGAAGGAAGACAACUGGAGAGGAAGGGCUGGUGGGCACUGUGGGUGGCAUGGAGACAUGGCAGGCCAGAGGAGUGGAGGGAGGAGGGUGUGGGCAGCAUCCUGGGCACCAGGCCUAGGCAGCAGCAGGGUCAGCUCCUGCAGGGCCUACAAACCAGACCACAUCUCCCUUCCCUGCUUCUCUGGGUGGGGGCGAGGAUCAGACCCGUUGGAUGCUCUCCCAGGGAGGGGGAUGUGGCCUGAGCUCCUGCCUGCCGGCCACAGCUUGUAGUCGGACAGGUCCAUGGUGUGGGUGGCACUGGCCUCCAGAACCUUGCUUCCUGGCACUCACACCUGUGUGCUCCUGCCCACUCAUGCCUUGGCCUGCAGGUGACUUGGGGGACACUGGGGCCUUGGCAAGCAUGAAGUAAGCAAAGGACAGCUGCAUGCUCAAGGAGGCUGCUCCUCUUCUUCUUCUUUUUUUUUUUUUUUUGGUACAGGGGAUCGAACUCCGGUCCUUGCGCUGCGAAGCAGGCGGUGGAACCACUGAGCUAAAUCCCUGGCCCAAGGCUGCUUCUCUUGCUCUGCUUGCAGGGAAGCCAGUGUCCUGCGAUGCCAGCGCCCAGGGAGAGGCCACAGGAGAGAGUCCCCAGGGCCCUUCACCUCUACCUGGCACUUGGCUGGGUGCCCAGGCUCAAAGGACUCAGGGACCCUGGGGCAGAAGAACAGCCUGGCUGAACUAGGUCAGCCACAGAAUGGCAGGACAGAGUCAGAGCUGUUCUACGAGCCAAGCUGGCACUGGGAAUGGAGGUGGAAAUGCAGAGGAAAGUGCUUCUCACGGCGGGAAGCUGCUGGCGUCGGAAUGGAGGCCAGGUGCGCCAUCCGGUGAGCAUAAUUAUCCGGGAGAGUAAUUAACUUCUCUAAAGAAACUGCCACUGCUCAUUUUCAUCGGGCCACACAGAAGCAAAAGGUAAGAGUCCUGUAAUUAAAGACUCGUGAUUGUGGUCCCAUUCCAUCCUGCGACUAAUAAGUCCUCUAGGAGGAGCGGGGGCUGAGCUCUGCAGGCUGAGCGGCCUUGGGGAAGGCCUCACGCUGCGUGUUCCACCUGGCUUCUCCUCCUCUGGGCUCCGUCCUUGGCUUCCUCUCUGUUCUCUUAGAGAAGGGAGGGGUCACAUCAAAAGCGACUGCUGCACAGCCUAAAUGACCAGCACACACUGUGUGCAGGGGCUGAAAUAUCACACUGACCCCGUGAAUGUACACAAUGUUGACCUACAAUACAGCUUUGAAAAAGUGAAACAGCGCUGAAAUGCCUGCCCUUAUCUUCCUGCUGCCCCAUCCCCGCGUGGAAACAGAGGCGGGCCUGAGGUUGAGGAGCAGAAAGAGCAGCCUCAGGGGAUCGUGGGGGCCAGGGAUCAGGGCAAGGGGGGACAGUGCGGGCUGGGAUCUCACGGAUCCUCGCUCUCCUUGGCCUUUUGUACAAUCUGGGCAAACUGCGGACGUUUUCUAAAGUGGUUUGUUCAUCCUGAAAAGGGGACCUGCUCACCUGAGUGGUGAGGCUGAAGGUCAAUGAUAAGCAGUGAUAGUUCUUGGGGUGCAAUUUUGUUGAGUACCUACUAUGUGUAGACCCUCCUGGGCAUUUCAGGGAACUCAAUCCACUUGAUGGGCACAGCAACCCUACAAAGGGAGUGUAUUUAUUUCCCCAUUUUCCAUAUGAGGAGAUCAAGGCGUGGGAAUGUUAGGUAAUUUGUUCAAAGCCUGGCAGCCAAGUGGCUGCAGGAGCCAGGCCAGCUGUGUGCUGCCCCCCUCUGGGAGUCCCCUGGAGGUUUCUUGUCAUUUUUCCAACAAAGGGAGUGGCUCAGGUUCUGGGUCUGUGGCCUGUUCUGGCAGAGGUGCUUUUUCUCUGAGCAGUUUUCUCCACCUCGCACUUCUACCAUGAUGUUUCUGCUGCACCGCAGUCCCAUAGCAGUGGAGCCAGCUGACUGUGGUCUGAGGCCCCCGAAAUUGUGAGCCAAAAUCAAGUUCUGCCUUGGGUAUUUGAUACAGUAAAAGAAAGUCGAAACACUUGUAUGUUAAAAACCCUGGCAAAUAAUGUCUGCCUUUGAGUGAUCUGAAGAUUCCAUGAGUUAACAAGGAUGACUUUUCUAACACGUUUCCUGACUUGUAGUAGGCGAACAAGAAAUGUUUUGUGACACAUCUGGCACUGUGCUUUGUCUCUGCUGCUGGUUUUUGUGUCAUUGGCAUCAACAUGCAGCAGGAGGUUUGGGCAAAGCAAAUGCCCAAGGAGAAUUUACACUUCCGAUCUUAGCGAUGUUUCUGAAGGCUAAGACAUCUGUUUGGAAAGCCCGCACAAAGUGAGUCACUAGGGAUUUGGGCUCAAUCAGCACCGUUUGAAAAUAGCUCACCUGACCUUCCAUGCAUAACAUUUCUGUCCUUUUUCGUUGGUUUUGUGAUUUAGAUCUUACCGAUCUCCCUGUGUGCUUUGCCUUCUCUUUUGUCUGCAAUUUGCUGGGAUUCUGGAGGGGCAGUGUGUCCCUUUAAUUAAUGUUAUCCCUUCCCCAGGCAGACAGGUGUUGUAGAAAUUCCUGGGUGAUGCUUUUCCAAACAAACCCAAAUGUUGCUGCUCACAGUCGGGGUGAGGGAAACUCCUCCCUGUCACCUUCCCUGUCAAAGGUGUCAUCGCAGCGAGGACAGCUCAUGUGGGUGCAGGGGCCGUGUUCUGGGAUCUAAGGAAAGGAGACAGAAAUCUCUUAAGUUUGAGAAACUUUUAUGGGAAGGAGUGGGUUUAUUUUGGAUGUUUGCUAAAUAACUUCCUGUCCACUUUAGAAGAGCUAAGGGUGGGGUGGUUUGGCAUGUGGAGUGCAUUCCCAGGUGAGCCGUGGGGAAGGUACCAUUCUGAACCAACCUGGGUCCCAUGCUACUACUGCAGGUGGCCAAGGCCAUCUGUGCCAUGGAAAGGCGGGGCCAUCCCUUCCCAAGUGGCUCUACUUUAGCCUCACACUCAGCCUACUAAGCAUUUGUCAGGUCCCAGUGUUUCCCACGCACGAUCCAACUCACACCGUUCCCUAGUGAAACUCCCACAUAUGGCCUGUGGUUGGGACAUUCCCAUCUCUGCCUUCUGAUAGACGAGGAAAUGGAGAUUUGGCCAAGACAUGGUGAAUCGGGGAGGGAUUACGUACAGGCCGAUGGGUUUUUAUCAACAUGUUUGCAUUGAGUUGAAAUUCACAUGAAAUGAGUCAUUUUAAACUGAACAAGCAGUGACCUCGAUGGAUUCACAACCGCGUGCAGGCACCGGCUCCCAAACCUCUUCAUUCUCCACAGGGAACCAUGACCCCCAGGCUGCUGUCCACCCCAGGCCCUGGCAGUGACCUGUCUGUCCUGCCCGUGGUGUAGACUGGCUGGUUUGUGACCAUAGCAGCUGACGUCUGUCAAGGGCUUCUCAUGUGCCAGGCAGCGCUGGGCGCUGGCUGCGUGUUAGGUCACCCCGUCCUCUGCAUCGGGAGAGGUUGCUGUUGUGACCGCUGUGUUAGAGGAAGAUGCCGCAGCCCAGAGAGGCCCAGGGAGUCAUCCAGGCUCUCACCGCUGCCGGCCCCGGGCGCUGGGUGGGAGCUGGCGCUCUGACUCUGCUCCGUCUCGGCCUGGAUGUCACUGUCACUGUGGCAGCGUCUCAGCCCUGCAAGGGCGUGGGACUUUCACUGCCUCCCUCAGCGCCUCUGGCCUAUCGGGGUAAGCAGUGUUCAGUGCACAGUGGAAACCCACGGGCUGGAGAUGGGUUUUGCCACGGGCCCGGGAAACACUUGGUUCUCUCAAUUCUGUGCCUUUACCCGAGAAUAGAACCCUAAUGUUUUGCUGUCCCAGCCAGGAGCUCUUCCCAGGAAGAGGGCGGAUAGACUGGCUUCUUCAUGCUCAGGUAGAAAUAACAGCGGUCAUGGAAACACUUACUUAUUGAGCUCCUGUCAGGUGCCAGACACUGUUACAAGUGCCCAACAGCUGCCUCUUAAUUAAUGCCUGGGAAAAUCCUGACCUGUUUUUUUAAAAAAACAUUUAGAACAAAAAAGCCCAAGGGAUGGCGUCCCUUUCCACAGGUAAUGCUCUUUUGGGAAAUCGCUCCCUGUGAUUGGUCUGUGGGAAAUCACAUGGAAGCGAGAUGUCUCCCAGUCAGGCAAGUCCCUCCUUGGGGCCUUCAGGGUCCCCAGGGAGAGGGGCUGCGGCCUUACCCGCUCCAGCCCCGUGGGUUCCGAGGGUGGGCUGGGCUCCGGCACCUGCCUGCCUGGGCUCCCAGGUGUGCAGCACGGUGGCGUCUCAGUGCUCUCUCUAGCCCUCUCUCCACUCAGCAGCACUGAUUCAUUUCUGUAGGAGUAAAUGCUACUGGUACUGUCGGAAGCCCCUGUCCAGCCCACUCCAAACCUUAGAGCUUCAUCUAGGUUUUAAAUUUGCAUCUCCAACCAUAUUUUAGUUUGAAUUCAACUGAACCGUCUCUAGAAAUCCUGCUCUCUUUCCAUCCUUACCCCCGUUUCUGCUGGAAGCUGUGAAGCUGUUCAACGCCUGUGCUGCCACCUCCCUCCUGUCAGCAUGGCCUAUGAACCUGUCUGCCUCUGCCCCCACCUAGCUUUGGCUCCUGGCUGCUUGCUGGCCAUCCCACAGCUCCUUCUCUUUGCCCCUCUGCCUCCUUCUCUGUGAAAUCUAUCCUGGUUUCCAGGUGAGGCCCCCUGCCUUCUUUCCUUGACACUUUUAGUGCAUACUGACCUUCCUUGUUUUAUUUUUUCUCCAUAGAUCCUAUCAUCACCUAACAGUGCAAGAGAUUUUAUUUAUUUAUUUAUUAUCUAUUUGUCUCUGUUGACAGCUCUACAGGUCAGGGUUUUGUCUUGUUCAGAGCUGUGUCCUCUAUACCUAGAAUGGAUCCUGGUACAGACCAUCUGCUCCACAAAUAUUUGUGGAAUGGAUGGAUGAAUUGAUGAAUAAAUGAAUGGAUGUAUGUAUGAAUGAACGAAUGGAUAAAUGAGUGAAUAGAUGGAUGAUGAAUGGAUAGAUGGAUGGAUGAGCAGAUGAGUGGAUUGAAGGAUGGAUGAAUGGAUGGAUGAAUGAAUGCAUGAAUGGAUGAAUGGUGACUAGAUGCACGGAUAGAUGAAUGGAUGGAUGAAUGAAUGGAUGAAUAGCUGCAUGGAUGGAUAAGUGGAUGGAUGAAUGGAUAAAUGGAUGGAUGGAUAGAUGAGUGUCAAGUGUCAAGAAUAAAAGUAUCAACCACCCAGUUUAAUGAAAGUUGGCAUUGUAGCUCAUCUCCCUUGGUUCUUUCUUGGUUUUUUUCCGGUACCGGGGAUUGAACUCAGGACCUUGUGCUUGUGAGGCUGGCAUGGUGCUGCUGAGCUAACUCCCCAGCCCCCUUAGUUUUUCUUUUCCACACAAAUAAGAGAUCCUCUGUGAAUCUCUCUAGUCCCCAUCCCCUUCCUGCUUCCCAAAAGGUGACAUUCUGCUCCUGUUGGGGAAGAAUCUCUAGCCCAUGAUUUUGUGCUUUGAUAAACAGGUCCAGGAUUCUUCUGGGGUUUCAAAAUUUUACAUAAACUGAGUACUUUACUUAACUAUACAAUUUUCUCUUAUACCAGUAUUAUAUAUUAUUCAUUAUGAUCUUCUAUUUUUAGUGGUAUAGAAUUCUGUUUAAUGAAAAUGCCAUAAUUUAUUAUUAUUUCUCUUCUGAGCAGGUAUCUAGGUUGGUUCCAAUUUUUUGCCAGUACAAACAGCAUCACAGUGCACAUUCUUUGGCAUGUGUCUCAUGCACACAUGUAAGGAUUUUGUCUCUUCAGUUCUCAUGUGUGGAAUCACUGGGGUUUGGACCACAGGCAGCAGCAAAUUUAAUAGGUAUUAGUAAAUUUCUCAUUGCAGUGUCUGUGUCAGUUUGUGUCCCCGGGAUGACACUGGCCUGUCCAUGGGGUGAGAGUCCACCAUGUGUUAAGGAAAGGCUUCUGGAAGUCCCGUGUCGGGUCGGCUGGGCAUGGAUGUCUGGAACAGGGGUCUUCCCUGCAGUCCUCACCACCAGGGAGUCCUACCGUCUCCACUCCUGAACCUGAAUGUGUGCUGCUGAGGACAGGGCUCCCCACAGCAGCCCCAGGGCCACCUCUGUGGCCAGCAGAGCUGGCACAGCCCUCUGGAAAGCAUCCUUCUUCCUUCCUGAUCUGUCCUGGUAGCAGUGGAACCUGGGUGGGGGGAAGGAAACAGAAGUGCCUGGGUGUGUUGGGUUGCAGGAACAGGCUUUCAGAAGUGCCAGAUGCGAGUCCUGCCAUGCUAGGCUCGGAGAGGGGCCCAGGCGGCCACUGCAGGCAGAUCACAUGGGUGUCCCCUGCAACCUGGGCUGCAGGGUGCCGGAGUGGCCGGCACUCACCAGAUCAGGCGUGAAGCCUCCUGUAGAACUGGAUGGUGAUGGCUGCAGCUCGUGCUGUGUAACAGGUGCCACGGCAUGAGCGCUGGAAAGCAGCAGCCCUACCUAGCUCUGGCUUCGGAGGCUGGCACUGGCCAGCCACACUGGGUGUUUAUUUCACUUGUGCGUUGCCACCUGUCGACCUCCUCAGUGGUGCUGUCUUGGGCAGGCUGGGGCACCUGGGGUGAAAGCUGUCCCUCACCUUCCCUUGGGCUCCUCCGGACCUGCCACAUCUCUGUGUUGUGUUUGUAAAAGCUGUAGACUCUGAAUCUGCAAAGCCAGCUGAGAUCCAGGUUCAGGACUAGCACAAGGCUGCAUCUGCUGCCGGAGCAGGUCCCAGGCCACUCUCCAGUAGAGAGCGGGAGACGGACUUUUAAAUUUCACUCUGCUUCUGCCUUGGUGGGAGGAACUGGAGAGUGUGGUGGGCAUUGUUCUUCAACGUCCUGAAGACAGAUGCGAACCUCAGCUCGGGGCGGUCGCCGGGCCAGUGGACUGACUGUUCACAGGAAGCUUGUCAUCACCUCAAAAUGUUCAGCCGAGACAAUUUCGAACACGGCCGCAGGUGAGUGUGCUUUCUGUCUGCACACCCCGGAAGCAGGUGGCAUCCUCCGGGGCAGGCUAAUGUUCCUUGCCGGGAUUUCAGGAAGACAGGGGAGGGAAGAUGCGAGAGCAGCCAUGCAGCCGGCUCCUCGGCCACCUGGCCGCAGCCUCUUCCACAAAGUGCCAGGGCCUUGUGGGAGCAGCUUCCCCCCUCCUCAGGCCUCCGUCAAGCCCCACUCCUCCAGGGACCCCGCGCCACACCCUCUCCGGUCCUGUGCUCUCCCACAUCAGCCCCAGGGACCCGGAGUGGCCUUGUUCCUGCUGGCUUGCUGACUUGGUGUCUCUCUCCUUCGCCUUCCUGAGGACUGGGCUCUGCUGGCUCUGUGGAGCUGGCCUUUUAGAAGGGCCCCUCUCCCUCUCCAGCCUUGAGGAGUGUGGUCAUCUGCUGAGGAAGUAAGGAACCACAGACUAGGUGCUCAUAACCGAUUUAUUCUCUGCUGGUGGAGUCGGGUGGGCAGGGCUGCGCCCCCUGAAGGCUCUCAGGGUGGAGUGGGCAGCAGUGCUGCUGCAGACCCUUGGUGUCCGCUGCUGCUUGGUGCGGGCGCCUCACUCUGCUCCGCUCUGCGGGUCACAUGGCAUCACAGACUCACACCUUCUCCUGAUCACAGCUGCAGAGACCCUGUUGAUUCUCAGCUAAGGUGGCACUGGCAGGUCCUGGAGGUUAGGGCUUCAGCAUGUCUUUUGGGGGCUGUAACUCAACCUGCAGCCAGUACCUGGGCAGUGAGGUCUAGGGGAACAAUGUUUCGCUCACAGGGUGUGAUGCUGCAGACCAGCGCCAUGCCCAGCUGGAGGAUCCAGGAAGGGGUGCGGGGGUGAGCCAGUCUCAGCCUCCAGUAGCCUGCCUUCCCCCCAUGAUGGUUUGUGUCCACACGUCCCCCAAAGCUUCAUGCACUCAUAGUGGGGCUUCUCAGAGCUGGCUGGAUCUAGGGCAGCGAUGGCAAACCUUUUAGAGCUUUCAAUGAUACACCCUACUGUGGCAUGCAUGCCAUAGGUUCACCAUGCUGCUCUAGGGCAUGUGAUACUGGGAUUAAGGGUGUGUGGUGCUAAAUUAGUUCACUGAUUGGAAUUGGCAUGGUUCUGGGUGUGAAUAAUGGAAGCCUCACCUUGGGUGUGUGUGGCUGAUAGCCUGGAUGAAGUGUGAAGGGAGAGAGGGAAGGCAGGCUCGCUGUUGCUGCUGCUUGCUGCCUUCUGUCUGCCCUGCCAUGGACUGCUUCUCCUCUGCCAUGCUGCCUUGUCUUGAGGCACCGACUAUGGAUUGAACCCUCUACAAACUGAGCUAAAAUAAACCUGUCCUCCUUUCACUUUGGUGUCAGGUAUUGUGUCUCAGCAAUGAGAAAAGUAACUAAGACACACCCUGAUUCUGCUGCAGGUGCUUUCUGCCCUGCAGUGGGACCACAGCCUCAUGGACCUGGUCCUCCGUAUGGUCCACAGGAGCCUUUCUGGCUUGGUGAUGGCCUCUGAGCUCCCAUGGCUCCCGGACCCUCCCAGCUGCUGUGCUGUGGUUUAUAAUCACUCACCUGGCUGAGCAGGAGCAGGGCUGAGGCCCAAGAGUGUUGUCGAGGAUCCAGAAGAAGAUCUUGUGGGCAAAGAGUAAUAGUUGAGGGUAUCAAUUGGUGACAGAUGCUCUGCUUUGUGCUUUGCCAUUGAGAAUCCAGUCUCCCUUAGCCCUGAGGUGAUGCGGUCCUGGCCUCCCAUGCUCUCUGUAGGGGGCUGUUCUUAUACUCCAUGUCUCCAGUGCUUGGCAUUGGCAGAGGUGUUUCCAUGAGAGCUGCCCCUGCAGAGGUGGGGAAGGGAACCCCAUGGGCAGGAACUUCCCUGAGAGCCAGCCGAGGCUGAAAAGGCAGAGCAGGGUCCAGACACUGCUGACCCUGAGCUGGCCUUUGCCAACACCCGCUACAGAUCAGAGGUGACCUUUCCUGGGGGAGAUGCCUAUGAGCAGUCGCCAACUCCUCUGUGCCUCAGUUUCCCCACAGGAAAGGAAGGUGAAAUUCAGAAUGCCCGCGGCUACCCACAUCACCACCUGCUCCAUGGUGGCAACAGGAGGGCCUGGGGUUUAGCAGGGCCUUUGAAGGGUGCCCUGUGGAGACUGAAUUAAGAUCAUUAAUAUGCGGGGCUGCUGUCUGCAGGCCCUGGCUGCUCCAAGUCCGUGGGCCUGCGUGUUCCCACCAGUGGCAGCAUGGGAGUGACAGUGUGCCAAGAGCCGUGGGCGGUGGCCUGGGCAGAGGGGUGCAUUCAUUUCUCGGGGCUCCGAGGCUGGGAAGUGGGGGUCAAGUGGAGUUGGUCUGGUUCCUGUGCCGCCCUCUUCCCAGGGGUGCAGCCUGCUUGGUCUCACAGCUUUUCCUCUGGGCAAGCAGAGGGGCAGUGGGCUCCCUGAUGGGCCCCCUGUGGGGACACUGGUCCUCUGGGCAGACCACGCCCCAUGGCCCUGUUUAAUGCAGCCACCUCCUAGGGCCUUGUCUGCACACCCGGCCCAUCGGGGCCAGAGGCCAAUGC
rnacentral:lncRNA from 1 species